AGCAGCCGCGGUAAUUCCAGCUCCAAUAGCGUAUAUUAAAGUUGUUGCAGUUAAAAAGCUCGUAGUUGAAUUUCGGGAUCAAUUUAUUGGUCGUGCUAUUGUACGUACUGGUAUUAUUGAUUCCUACCUUCUGACGAACCAUGAUGUCAUUAAUUUGGUGUCUUGGGGAAUCAGGACUGUUACUUUGAAAAAAUUAGAGUGUUUAAAGCAGGCUCACGCUUGAAUACAUUAGCAUGGAAUAACGAAAUAGGACGUUUGAUUCUAUUUUGUUGGUUUCUAGGAUCGACGUAAUGAUUAAUAGGGAUAGUUGGGGGCAUUAGUAUUCAAUUGUCAGAGGUGAAAUUCUUGGAUUUAUUGAAGACUAACUACUGCGAAAGCAUUUGCCAAGGAUGUUUUCAUUAAUCAAGAACGAAAGUUAGGGGAUCGAAGACGAUCAGAUACCGUCGUAGUCUUAACCAUAAACUAUGCCGACUAGGGAUCGGAUGAUGUUAAUUUUUUAAUGACUCAUUCGGCGCCUUACGG
rnacentral:rRNA from 1 species